GACGAACGCUGGCGGCGUGCUUAACACAUGCAAGUCGAACGGAAAGGCCCUGCUUUUGUGGGGUGCUCGAGUGGCGAACGGGUGAGUAACACGUGAGUAACCUGCCCUUGACUUUGGGAUAACUUCAGGAAACUGGGGCUAAUACCGGAUAGGAGCUCCUGCUGCAUGGUGGGGGUUGGAAAGUUUCGGCGGUUGGGGAUGGACUCGCGGCUUAUCAGCUUGUUGGUGGGGUAGUGGCUUACCAAGGCCUUGACGGGUAGCCGGCCUGAGAGGGUGACCGGCCACAUUGGGACUUAGAUACGGCCCAGACUCCUACGGGGGGCAGCAGUGGGGAAUAUUGCACAAUGGGCGGAAGCCUGAUGCAGCAACGCCGCGUGCGGGAUGACGGCCUUCGGGUUGUAAACCGCUUUCGCCUGUGACGAAGCGUGAGUGACGGUAAUGGGUAAAGAAGCACCGGCUAACUACGUG
rnacentral:rRNA from 1 species